rnacentral:rRNA from 1 species
AGUAACACGUGGGCAACCUGCCCUGAAGCGGGGGAUAACAUCUGGAAACAGGUGCUAAUACCGCAUAACAACGAAAACCACAUGGUUUUCGUUUCAAAGAUGGUUUCGGCUAUCACUUCAGGAUGGGCCCGCGGUGCAUUAGCUAGUUGGUAAGGUAACGGCUUACCAAGGCAAUGAUGCAUAGCCGAGUUGAGAGACUGAUCGGCCACAAUGGAACUGAGACACGGUCCAUACUCCUACGGGAGGCAGCAGCG